AUCAUUGACAGACCUAAGAGUUUUCCAUAUGGCCUUCCCUUUAAGGUCUGGGAAGAAAAUAUCCACAAUGUAAUUCCUAUAGGAUUAGAGGAAGGAGGGAAGGCAACGGAGGUUCCAUUUCUGCUAGGAGUAUCCACCACUGAAAGGGACAUAUCUAUCUCUGUGGUUGUCAUCUGCUCUGCAAAAACCCUGCCCUGGGACUCCCAGGGAACAUGAAUCUGAUGUGGACCCUUCUUCUCCUCCUCCUCCUGGGGCCAAUUGUCUUCACUCCAGGCCUGCCCUUCUCAAGACGGUGUACAGACAACCCCAGGUCAUGAGUCCCUGGAGGACACCACCGGUACUGUGACGUGAUGAUGAGGUGACGGUGGCUGUUCCGGAGGGGUAGGUGCAAGCAGAUCAACACCCUCAUUCACGAGGAUUUGGCCACCAGAGCAGAUUUCUGAGAACUCCACCUGUGCCCUGUACCAGCAGAGCAGCUCCUUGCAAAGCUGCCACAACGGUGCUCACGAUGUCAGCGUCACCGACUGCUUUGCCAAAGCAGGCACCCGGCCCCUGCACUGCCACUGCUGUAAGAAGGACUCCACCAGGCCCAUCCGCGUGGGCUGUGAGGAGGGGAGCCCUGUUCACCUGGACGGCUAGUCUUCCCCCAGCCCUGACGUGGGAAGCCCAGUGACUUGCACCCUACACCUCCAGAUCUUUGAAGCCCUGCCAAAGUCUUCCCUGUAAACGC